rnacentral:rRNA from 1 species
AACGCGAAGAACCUUACCUGGGCUCGAAAUGCUAUGGACAGUCUGUGAAAGCAGAUCUUCUCGCAAGAGACCGUAGUAUAGGUGCUGCAUGGCUGUCGUCAGCUCGUGUCGUGAGAUGUUGGGUUAAGUCCCGCAACGAGCGCAACCCUUGUCCUGUGUUGCCACUCCCGUAAGGGAAGCACUCUCAGGAGACCGCCAGCGAUAAGUUGGAGGAAGGUGGGGAUGAUGUCAAGUCAUCAUGGCCUUUAUGUCCAGGGCUACACACGUGCUACAAUGGACGGUACAAAGCGCUGCAAACCCGCGAGGGGGAGCCAAUCGCAAAAAACCGUUCUCAGUUCGGAUCGCAGGCUGCAACUCGCCUGCGUGAAGCUGGAAUCGCUAGUAAUGGCGUAUCAGAACGAUGCCGUGAAUACGUUCCCGGGCCUUGUA